rnacentral:lncRNA from 1 species
UUUUUUUUUUCCUCUUGGAACAGAUUCGGGAGGAAUCUAAGUAUCAUUGUAAAAUUCACAAAAUGCCAAAUCCACUGAGUGAGCAACAGAUGAGGGAAAUUGCUCCACAUCCCGUGGAGAGGAAAUGAACGGGACUGGGGAGGAAGAAUGUGCUGCGUGGUGGGAACACUGUUUUGAUUCCUGAUGCUGCACAUCUGCCACGUUUCUGCACAGAGCUACCAGCCCGGGCAGACACUGAGGACCCUCCUCGCGCACUGGAGCUGUGGCCUCGGCAGCUGUGGGAAUGCGGACAGGAAGCAGGGGACCCUGGAGGCGAGAGGAGGAGGACAUCCUGCGGGGAUAGAUAAAAAAUAACGGCCGGGCUGUGGGAACCUCUUCCGAGCAAACAUGUGAGCCCAGGAAUUUCCUGAGCCAGAGAUCUGACUCCGGUUAUUUGUUGUAACUGAUUAUUUGUUUUCCUGGAGAUUUUGCAUAAUUUUGACAAAGGGAAAGAAGAUAUAAAGCCAAGACAUGCAUGACUGCCCUUCUGAAGCCUCUGCUCACAGAGCAGAGGGAUAGGAGGCUGUGAUUCAGAUUAUGGGGCCUGCAGGCUGGGGAGGGCGACCCUGCAGGGGCCCAGGAGCAGGCAGAGUGUGCCCCACAGACCCCUCCCUGGGGCAGAGGGACAGCAGAUUACUGGGCCCGAGACGCAUUA